rnacentral:rRNA from 1 species
CCUACGGGCGGCUGCAGUGGGGAAUAUUGGACAAUGGGGGGAACCCUGAUCCAGCCAUGCCGCGUGUGUGAAGAAGGCCCUCGGGUUGUAAAGCACUUUCAGUGAGGAAGAACGCCUGGUGGUUAAUACCCAUCAGGAAAGACAUCACUCACAGAAGAAGCACCGGCUAACUCCGUGCCAGCAGCCGCGGUAAUACGGAGGGUGCGAGCAUUAAUCGGAAUUACUGGGCGUAAAGCGCGCGUAGGUGGCUUGAUAAGCCGGUUGUGAAAGCCCCGGGCUCAACCUGGGAACGGCAUCCGGAACUGUCAAGCUAGAGUGCAGGAGAGGAAGGUAGAAUUCCCGGUGUAGCGGUGAAAUGCGUAGAGAUCGGGAGGAAUACCAGUGGCGAAGGCGGCCUUCUGGACUGACACUGACACUGAGGUGCGAAAGCGUGGGUAGCAAACAGGAUUAGAUACCCGAGUAGUC